rnacentral:rRNA from 1 species
CCCUUAGAUGUUCGGGGCCGCACGCGCGCUACACUGAUGGAAUCAGCACGUCUUUCUCCUUGUCCGAAAGGACUGGGUAACCCGCUGAACCUCCUUCGUGCUAGGGAUUGGGGCUUGUAAUUCUUCCCCAUGAACGAGGAAUUCCCAGUAAGCGCGAGUCAUAAGCUCGCGUUGAUUACGUCCCUGCCCUUUGUACACACCGCCCGUCGCUACUACCGAUUGGAUGGUUUAGUGAGAUCCUCGGAUUGGUCCCGGCGCGGCCUCUGGUCGUGCCGGAGUGCCGAAAAGAAUGUCGAACUUGAUCAUCUAGAGGAAGUAAAAGUCGUAACA